rnacentral:rRNA from 1 species
AAAUUGAAGAGUUUGAUCAUGGCUCAGAUUGAACGCUGGCGGCAGGCCUAACACAUGCAAGUCGAACGGUAACAGGAAACAGCUUGCUGUUUCGCUGACGAGUGGCGGACGGGUGAGUAAUGUCUGGGAAACUGCCCGAUGGAGGGGGAUAACUACUGGAAACGGUAGCUAAUACCGCAUAACGUCGCAAGACCAAAGAGGGGGACCUUCGGGCCUCUUGCUAUCGGAUGUGCCCAGAUGGGAUUAGCUAGUAGGUGGGGUAACGGCUCACCUAGGCGACGAUCCCUAGCUGGUCUGAGAGGAUGACCAGCCACACUGGAACUGAGACACGGUCCAGACUCCUACGGGAGGCAGCAGUGGGGAAUAUUGCACAAUGGGCGCAAGCCUGAUGCAGCCAUGCCGCGUGUAUGAAGAAGGCCUUCGGGUUGUAAAGUACUUUCAGCGGGGAGGAAGGGAGUAAAGUUAAUACCUUUACUCAUUGACGUUACCCGCAGAAGAAGCACCGGCUAACUCCGUGCCAGCAGCCGCGGUAAUACGGAGGGUGCAAGCGUUAAUCGGAAUUACUGGGCGUAAAGCGCACGCAGGCGGUUUGUUAAGUCAGAUGUGAAAUCCCCGGGCUCAACCUGGGAACUGCAUCUGAUACUGGCAAGCUUGAGUCUCGUAGAGGGGGGUAGAAUUCCAGGUGUAG